rnacentral:pre_miRNA from 1 species
CUCGGGGGGAGGGGUCCCUCAGCCAGGAUUGUGAGAGGGCGCAAGCCAGGCUGAGGAACCCCACUGAUGCACA